rnacentral:rRNA from 1 species
GAUGAACGCUAGCUACAGGCUUAACACAUGCAAGUCGAGGGGAAACGACAUCGAAAGCUUGCUUUUGAUGGGCGUCGACCGGCGCACGGGUGAGUAACGCGUAUCCAACCUGCCCAUCACUUGGGAAUAACCUUGCGAAAGUAAGACUAAUACCCAAUGACAUCCCACGAAGACAUCUGAAUGGGAUUAAAGAUUUAUCGGUGAUGGAUGGGGAUGCGUCUGAUUAGCUGGUUGGUGGGGUAACGGCCCACCAAGGCAACGUUCAGUAGGGGUUCUGAGAGGAAGGCACACUACAUCGGAACUGCGGUACAGACUAAACUCGGACGGAGGGCAGCAGUGUGGUAGAUUGGUCAAGGAGCGAUGGCCUAAACCAGCCAAGUAUCGUGCAGGAUGACGGCCCUAGGGGUGGUAAACUGCUUGUAUAAGGGAAUAAUGUGGUUCUCGUGAGACGUUUUGCAGGUACCUUAUGAAUAAGGACCGGCUAAUUCCGUG